rnacentral:misc_RNA from 1 species
AAGUCGUAACAAGGAAGCGAGUGAGUUCAUCACACGAGACUAUCUGGAAGCAAUUCCUAACAAUUGUACUCGCUGCGUCAGGCAAACCCUUUCUGCUUCAUCAGAUCGUCGCUCAUCGAUCUGCGAGUGGAAUAGAAACACAAAUUUCACCCCCUUUUUGCUAGUUGACUUUUAUAUGUUGUCUGAUUCAUACUUAAUUGUAUGGGCCAUUCACACGUUUAUUAUUUGAACGUUAAAAUUACAACUCUUAGCAAUGGAUAUCUUGGUUCUC